CAAUAGCGUAUAUUAAUGUCGUUGCAGUUAAAAAGCUCGUAGUUGGAUUUCUGGUGGGAGCGGCCGGUCCGCCGUAAGGUGUGUACUUGGUUGUCUCCUGUCAUCCUUGUGGGAACUGCUCUGGCAUUAAGUUGUCGGGGUUAGGGAACACAUCGUUUACUGUGAAAAAAUUAGAGUGUUUAAAGCAGGCUUAUGCCGUUGAAUACAUUAGCAUGGAAUAAUAAGAUAGGACUUUGGCGUCUAUUUUGUUGGUUUGCACACCAAGGUAAUGAUUAAUAGGGAUAGUUGGGGGUAUUCGUAUUUAAUUGUCAGAGGUGAAAUUCUUGGAUUUAUGAAAGACGAACUUCUGCGAAAGCAUUUACCAAAGAUGUUUUCAUUAA
rnacentral:rRNA from 1 species